UACAGAGGUGCCAAGCGUUGUUCGGAUUCAUUGGGCGUAAAGGGUGCGUAGGCGGCGGGGUAAGUCAGGUGUGAAAUCCCGGAGCUCAACUCCGGAACUGCACUUGAUACUACCUUGCUAGAGUACUGGAGAGGAGACUGGAAUUUACAGUGUAGCAGUGAAAUGCGUAGAUAUCGUGAGGAACACCAGUGGCGAAGGCGAGUCUCUGGACAGUUACUGACGCUGAGGCACGAAAGCCAGGGGAGCAAACGGG
rnacentral:rRNA from 1 species